AAACUACUCCCUCCGUCCGAAAAUACUUGUCAUCAAAAUGGACAAAAAGAGAUGAAUCUAAAACUAAAAUAUGUCUAGAUACAUUCCUUUUUAUUCAUUUUGAUGACAAGUAUUUCCAGACGGAGGGAGUAUGUG
rfam:Triticum aestivum genome assembly, contig: Triticum_aestivum_CS42_TGACv1_scaffold_220726_3B